GGAUAAUUGGUGUAUUCUCCAAGAACUUAUAUGUGAUGAGUAAAACCGCCGUGUAAACACGCAACAGUUAUCUUACUGCUAUCUUUUUACACACUGCUUGGUUUACCAUUUAGUGAACUGUGCAACAUGUAUUGAGUGUUAGAGCCAUAGUAUGCAGCUUUCUCACUGUCCUGGAAGAAGAUAGUUCAGUCCAAGUUGUGCACCUGUGCAAAAUUUAGUACUGGAAUGCAGUGUUCUGUUUGACAGCUCAGAGGAUCUGUAGUAAUUUUUGCAAAUUGCUGCAUUUUUAAGCCA